GAAAUAUCUAGAUCUAUUUAUUUUAUCUUCUUUUGUUUUACUAACAAAAAUAUAAAAAUAAGAGAAUAAAAUAUAAUUUUAAUGUUUCAGUUGAUGGUGGCAGACAACGACAUCGUUAGUGGGACGAGGAGAGUAGCGACGAGACGUGAGGGUCGCUUUGUAUAUCCGUCGACGUCGAUGUAAUUAUCGAGCGGUGUUGUUAAGCAUCUACAUUGGUGGCUUUUUCGCUACUCAACAAUUGUGUCGAAGUCGACAUAAAUGCAGACUGACAUUUAUCUCUCGUCGUCACUUUUCUCAUCCACAAUAGCUCUCUGCAGCUCUCAGCGGCAUCGUUCACUAUCAAUUGGAACGUUAAAAUUAUUUUUUUAUCUUUUGUUUUCAUAUUUUCAUUGAUAAAACUGAUAACAUUAAGGUAAAUGAACCUAGAUGUUUUAUUUUCGUAAUUAUAUGGAUGUCAAUAUAAUUUUUUAAAAUGUAAGGAUCAGAAUAUUAAAGAUAAAUUAACUACGGAUGAUAAUUUAUAAUUAGCUCGUUAAAUUAUGAGCGGGUAGAUCGGUGGUGGGGACGAUGGUAUGGGUUUUGGUUUCUUUCUCUAUUAUUUUCAUAUUUGAAUUUGCAAGGUUUAAGUUUGUUCUUUUUUAUGCUCUUUCUUUUUUGUUACUGUGCUGGUUUUUCAAGGCAGUGUGUGACUAUCCUUGCUUCUGAUGGACAGUUCCCUGUUAGAACUGUAUCGCUGACUUACAAAACUUUGUUGUAAAUCUUCCACUAAAUCUAUCAUUUGCAUUUUUUUUUUCUUCUUUUGUGCAACUAUAAUUUGAGAAAAUACUGUUUGCAAUGCAUUCUGAUGCCCAAUCUCUCCUUUCUUUUUUUUCAAGUAAUAGAACAAUUAUGCACCCAUUGUUUUUGUAUGAAGGAAUUAUCUGAUAGAAUACUUGAAUGGAUACACAGAGAACAUUGCGACGAAAGCUUUAUAUGCUCUUAAUUAUUGGAACGAGAACAGGAAAUGGGAAACCAGACGAGCAUAAAUCGACCAUGUCUGAACGAUAACUUUGUCGUACCCACCAAGACAAAGAAAUACAGUGCUCGUCUUCGUCAAACUCUCAUGAAACGACAACGAGCUCUCUUGUUGAGGAUAGCAGCAUUACUGAGGUCACCGAUGCCGACCAUGAGAAGACGUGGUCGCCUGCACCAGCCUUGCCCCUUUGCGUGCAGAAGAAGACCUCACUGGUUUUGAACGAGCCGCCCCACCGUGAUGCGACUCUUCCGUGGCCGCGUCACCUCGUCAACAUCCAGUAUACAACACGCAAUCAAGAAACCAACCACGCAUCAAAGCCGGAGAAAUGGAGAGGACACACAGAGAAUCGCAGAAAACGUGCAGAUCCGAGAUUAGGAGACGUAUCGUCUCAUCAGUCUCAGCGUUGAAUGGCAAUCUACUGAGAAAGCUCUGCGGUGCAGUGGGGAAGGCAAGAGGCGUGAGCACCACGUAUUCCUCUUUCCAAGGAGGCCUCCCAAGAAAAGAACAAGGACCUUUCACGGCCAUGGGGCAUAGGCCGGCCGCCGCCACAAGUGGUGCACACCUUCCUCUUCCUUCCAUCUCAGGCUUUAUUUACGCGCACCAUGUGAACAACAUUGCUCUGUUGCAGAAACAAACAUAUGAAGUGGAUGUUAAACCCAUGCAAUUCAUUACUGAGGUUGCAGUGAAUGCGGGGAAGAGCCUAAAUUAGAGGACAACAGUGGAGGUGUCGGCCUCAUGUCCGUAGCAAUUAUUUGAGGGUCGACAUCACUCUUCGGGUGUCCUUUUCUUUCUCGUGAUAUAGCUGAGCUGGGUCUCAUCUCAUCUUUGUCUCUAGCUUUUUAACCAUCAUAUGAGGGAGAGAGACAGAGAGCAGCAGUACAGGGAAUGCUCGAGUUGAUUUCCCCAGGGACGGAAGACAGGAUCGAGGUGUAACUCUAAUCAUGAUCUUGGAAUGGUAGAUGAGACGGAAGCUCGUGUCAUGGUUACACGACACCAUCGUAUUAAAUGCGUAGCAUUUUCCUGAUGAGACAUUGAUGUUAGCAGUGUAGUAGUAGAAUAGCAGUUGUCUGUCCACGUUUUCCAUGCGGUGAUCGGUGCACGAUGAGACAUUGAAUGCACCUGAAUUCCCCCUCUAAUCCUAAGCUUAGCAUUGAUCCAGUAAGAUAAUAAAUACAUGAAACAAGCAUCCUCGCAUGACGGAG